ensembl:lincRNA
CGCUAUCUUUCCUGCAUACUGUUGCCUGGGAAUAAGGAACUAGAGACUUAACUAAUUCAGCCAGCUUACAUUCAAGUGUUCCAGACGGCAGUGGCACGUACACCCAGAGACCUCCCUUUUCUGUUUGGUGCUUAUAAGAAAAAGGCAUCUGAAACUGCACUCUAACCCAUAGAUGGCAACUGGCAUUUUGGAUAACUAAUAGAAGACACUACAGAGAUGCUACUGAACAAGUUGGCUGUCGGAGAAAGCUUUAAAAGGAAUACUUACAUAGUCAACCAGAGCCAGGAAAGGAAAAUAAAUCUAUUGAAGAAUCUUAGAAGCCAAAUCUUCUGAACCUAGGCCUACUGCUGUCAGUAUCUGAGUCCUCCUGCAUCUGAGAAGUACCAGGUCUGACAACGCUUUCCCUCCAACCUACAGUGAGGGACAUCAACAAAGGUGUAGAAAAUUCCUAUCCUCUAGACUUACAGCCCUCAAGCUGUGAAGCUGGGCAGUCUCCAUCCUUAGGGAUGAUUCAGAAAAACAGACAAGUAGGUGUGAAAACUCAGAUAUAACGAGCCAGAAAUAUAUAAAUGCCUUUAAGAAGUCUCCUCACAGAAGAACCCAAUUAAAUUCAUGCAAUUAAUAAACCUAAACAGGAU